CAGUCUUUGCGAUGCCCAGCAACCCCUGAACCCCGACGGCCACAGGCGACACCCUGAACCUCUUUCAGGCGCGGAGUACGCCCUCCGUCGGCGUCCGCGGCUGCGACACCAUCGUCCUCGGCGCCAACAAGAAGGCCACCGCCAAAGCUCCAAUACUCCAGAUGUUGCCCUUCAUGUCGCUCAAAAGGGGAAGGUUGCUAACUUGCAGGCAAAUGUUCUUGUAUGGUGUGAACCCAUGCUAUUCCUCUUAUCACUUCUCAGAAUAUGUAUUGAAGAUCUGCAAUGUGUUUUGAUCAUGAUAGUUCCAACAACUUGUACUUGUGUUUAGGGGCCUUGCUAGUCUGUUUGAGUAUAUUUCAUUUCAUUUUUACAGGGAUGCGAGUAUUGGAUUGCCAUUUGUCUGUUCUUGCGGGUAAAUCUGUAAAUGUUAAAAAAAAAAUACAUAGGAAAAGGUCCUAAAAAUGCAGGACAAUUAGGCUUUGCAAGACAAUUAACUUCUGGUUUGCAUUCUGUGUUAGAAGGAGAUUUGAGUUAUGCAACUUGGUAGCUUCAUCUUCUGUGUAUAUUUUGUGAUAUCUCAACACCUCUUAUAUUUAUAGCUAUGUACUUGGUUUGCCUUUUUUUUUUUUCACUACGGGUAUCUUCUAUUUACCUUUGCCUGGCCUUGGGCUGUCUCCUCUUCGGUUUUGGAAGGUUUGAUUGUAUUCACUUGAAGCCGAGCUGUUUCGCUUCAGUUUUAAUUUUUUUUUUUUGAUGUGAUCUUUAAAAAUUUCAGUCAGACAUUUUGUACACAUAGUCUCAUCUGGUUUUGUUUUCAUGUUUGCUUUUAAUUCUAACUUAAUUUAUAUCCUAUUCAAUCUUAAAUUGCUGAGCUUUGCAUCUAGUAUAUCACUUGAUGCCUGCUACUCUGUUGUUUCCUUAAUAUUAUAUUUUUCCUUAAUGCACUCUCCAGCUGUUUAUGAAAGCGUGGGUUGGUGUGCUGGUCCAUGAUGUGUGAUAUGUAAUGUGUGCCCAUGUAUUCUCUGACACGUUUCAUGUUGCCCGUACCGGCUUAUAUAGAAAGUUUGAUCUGGUAGGUGUGGACUAGUUUGGGCUGGCACUGGGCUAUACAAGGAUUCCAAAACCCUUUAUUUGGGUUCAUUUUCAUUUUCAUUUUGACACAAGAGAGGGAGGAGGGAUAAUUUUAUACCAAAUUUUAUUAUUCUAAUUGACUGGAGAUGUGCUAUCAUGACCCGAUACAUAUAGCUAUUAAUUGCCUAUACAACAAUAAUGUAGAACGAAAGAUAAAAGAGUACACUGCCUAAUAUAAAGAAAAUAAAUAAUGAACUUAUGGUGUCAUUGUAUUUCGGAGUUCUCUUUGGUUAAACAUAGUAGCAAUUCUAAUUUUAAGACAUGUAAUUUUAGUAUUUGGAUUAUGUUAUAGAAUUAAAUUACGUGUCUCUUUCAUUCUGUUAUAAAAUGCAAAUGCUAAUAUUGUGAUCUUUUAGAGUUACCUCUUCAUAAUAUUCUACUUAAGAACAAUAUGAUGUUAUUAGUGCUGCAUGGUUUUCUUUCACAAAACCUGGCAUUGUAAAUCCAUGUUUUCUUUCAUUUUAAAAUAGGUAUGAUGCUAGCAGUGUUGUGUUUUGAUUAUAUUUUGUGAUUACUUGAGCUUGGCUCAUCUACUUGUCAUUAUGUUAUUUUCUGUGGAUAAUGUGAUUUAGUCUCUUUGGACCAAUGAUAUUAUUAUUAUAUUUCAUUUUGGGCUGUUUCAACCUUCCCUGCUGUAAAAUUAUACUUGUUUAGCAUCCAUCAUCAUGUCAUGCUGUAAAUACAUGAAAGCUUGAACUUCAUUAACGAAAAGUUUUUUUGUUGCAAUAUUUAUGAAAUAUGGUGAAAUUUAUUCUGACAUUUUAGGAUAGACCCUGAAAGUCUCUCUGAUCAGUGGGUAUGUUGCUCUUCUUGCUACUAAUCCCCGUUAUUUGUGCUUCUGCAUCUAUUUUUCACUCAUUCCGUCUUCCAGAAUUUUCUUUCUGUUUUCUUCCUCUGAUCAACGACAUGCUUGUCUACUUCUUUUGAAGUUUGUAUGUUCUGUGUUUGUGCAAGGAUUAUAAUGAAAAUAUGCGUAACUGGAAAAUUUUAAUGUAGCGAGUAGGCUUGUGCUUCAUGUAUGUUUGUGCUCCCCAGGGUGGUUAACAACUGGUCAUACAUGGGCACAUGCAACUUUUGUAUCUUGGAAGUCGCAGUGCAGUCUGAAUCUAUGUUUGUGAUUGUUUGAUAUUAGACAAUUUUAAUUCCACCCUAUUAGGGAUUGGGUUUAUAAAUCUAUCUUUAUAUUUGUUCCUAUUAAAACUUGUCAACUAAUGCAUUUUCCAAUCCUCGGAGCUUCUAUUUUUAUUUUUUAUUUUUAGCAUUCCUCCCCUUUCUUGUGGAAAAUUUUGGUUUCCUUAUUACCAAAGCCACUCUUUCAGACUUAAUUGCUUCAUUGGAGCCAAAUCAAUAGGUUCUCUCUAGGGGUUUGUAUGUGCGCUUGUGGUCCCACCCAGCCUAUGGUGCAUCCCCCCAUCUUGGGGGCACAGAUCUGGCCGCCAUGGAGAAACGGUGCUAGUAGGUGACAUGGACCACUGUGCCUCUUCUGAAUUACAAGAGAUACAUGUUUAUACAUGGCAAUAAAUUCUUGAUGUAGGCCCACCAUUAAUGGAAAUUUACCAUCCCCAACUUAGUUUAAAGUCUAUUUGGUUUUGAAAAUUCUUCUGAUUUUGAAAAUUCUUCUGUUGUCUUGACAUUUCUUCCAUGAGCCUUGCAUGUUGCAUCACAGUGGGAAGCAAGUAUAUUCCACGAUGGUUGGUGAAAUGGAUUAUCUCCAUUUAUAGCAUGCUUCAAAUGAAACACAUUUGGCUAGCUCGCAUGAACUCUGCUAAAAGUUUCUUGUGAUGCACCUUCUGGGAGGAUCAUCCAUUUGGAAGUUAGGUCUUCAUUGAUUUGGAUUAGACAUGCGUAGCUUGAACCGAGUCCGGUAAAGAUUAUAAUUUCCUUUAAUUUAGAGGGAACAUUUUGUGGUUAACAUCAUUAGUAAACAUGUUUAUCAUUUUCAUUGUCCUAUCAUGGCCUUAGGGUUUUGAUGAAAAACAUUGGUAAGAUUAAUCAACCCAUACUAAUUAGUGGUGUCUAUAGAGACCGCUUUGAUUGUACAGACAUCUAGCUAUGGAACGUCAAGUGAUUAUUAGAAGCAUUAGCAUUUCUUUCAGUUUAGGUUUUUAACAAUGCCCUUCUAAUGAAUGUUCUGGGAGUAAAAGUAUUACCAUCUUCAGUGAGCUCAUCAGUUUGCUCAACAUUAGGCCUAUUUUAUUUUCAUACUGCAUUUCAAGGGACUUAGUAUGGUGGUAGUAACACAUGCUAGCUGUUUUUACUUUUCCCCGGUGCCCCUACCAGGAGAUUGUUUUGUGAAGGAAGAACAAUUGCUUUCGACGGUCAACCCUUAAUUGACCAAGGAUGCUGACAGAUGCUCAUCUGCAUAUGCAUGCCUGUAAUUGUGCCUUUAAAGAGCCAUUUAGCAUUUAUUUUGAUUUCGGCUUAUCACAAGUAUGCUAACAAACCAAAAUCAAUAGAUAUUGCUAAAUUUUCCUUGCAUUUAAUAUAUCAUGAGGUUUUGACCUUGUAACUUCUGCAUUCUUUGUUAUGCUUGCUCUUCGUUUUUUUUCUUUUCAAAUUGAAUGAUGCGUGCACCCACCAGACAUGGCUUCUAUAGCUAAACUUGCUAUCUUAGCAAAACCAUAUCAUUUUCAACCAGAAUGCUUUUCUUUUUCAUUAAUAUGAAGGUUAGCUGUACCUUCUACUACUCUAUCGUAUGUGUGAUUACAAUCUGUGGAUGGAGCUCAACUUUUUCAACGCCUCAUGUCUGAUUAGCUUUCAAAGUCCUUCUGAUUACAAUCUGUGUGACAUGUUAUUGCAUCUAAAAAACUAACAUUUUUCUUUUGUUUUGUUUUCUUUCUUUCUCCUUUUCCUCUCUCUCAAAACGUGGCUGACAGUGGGGAGCAGAAUAUAGAAAUUGCUGCGAUGAUGACGAGAGAACAUGGUCUCUUUUUUUUUGUGGUAGAAGAUAGGAGGGGAGGGGGAGGGACCAACCCACCCGCGUAGCAGCCCCCACUGGGCCCCCCUUCCACCAGGGAAUGUUCGAUACAGGUCGCAGGUUUCGCGUGCCUUCUCCGACCCGUGGGCUCACCCCACUGGGCUCACCGCCACACGUGUGGGUACGUCACCCUAGCGCCACCUUGGUACAAGUGGAAGGAAAGCAUAACCGCCAACAAGACAUCCGGGCGUGGAGCAUCCGGUCCCCUAAUUUAAUCGACGCCCGUGCGUUUCGAACCCGGGCAACUUGGGAGGAAUUAUCGCCCCCUUACCACUAGGCUACCACCUUGGUGGCAGAGAACAUGGUCUUUGGCAGCUUUAAGAAGCUGAUAUUGAUGCCAUUGUUUCGAGAUUGAAGCAGACAUGCCUGCAGCUGAGGCUGCAAAGAAGGGCCCUCCUGAAGAGACCGGAUUUCUCUUGUACUCACACACUUUUUUUUUUUCAAUGAAUUAAUAAAGUUUUCUUGCUCAAUCGCAGUAUUUUCUCC